rnacentral:lncRNA from 1 species
UACAGUAUAAAAUUUACAUCACUUUUGGAGGUACAGGUAUCAUUGCUCUUGUUGUUUAAUUUUAGAGUCCUAUAAAAGGAAAAAAAAGAAAUAAUUGUCUAUAUGCCCCUCAAAACUUCAAAAAUAUUUUAUUUACUCAUAUUUUUUAUUUUCUUUUCAAAAUAUUCCUCAUAUGUUUCUUCGUUAUUCCAAAAUACCCUUACAAUUACCACCCGUUAAGUUAACUUAGGUUAAACAUUAGUUAAAUAUCUACAAGAAUUAAAAAAAUAUAUAUCAAAAUUACUUUUUUGCCCUUAACUUAAGGGCAAAUAAUAAAUGUUCGUAAUGGCAGAAAGGUAUAUUUGCAAAGACCAAAAAUUAAAAUACUUUUUGUAUCCCUAACUUAAGGGGAAAUAAGAAAAGUCGGCGGUCAUGGUGGAAGAGUAUAUUUAAAAGGGCAAAAUAGUAAUUUUAUAUAGAUAAUAUAUAUUGCUAACAGUUUAUUAAUAGAAUUUAACUUUAGGGAUAUAUUUAAAAUAGAUUAGAACAUAAAAAAAAUAUUUUCAAUAUUAGUUUUCUAAGAGAGAUAAAUUAGAAAGCCAGAAACUUUUUAGGGAUAUACAAGCAAUUGUCCCAAAAAAAUAAAUGUUAUUUUGAUAUCCAAAAAUGGGGUGUACCUUUCACACCCACUCAUCCAAGGAUUUAAAACUUAUUCUUUUUUAGUUUUUUAACUUUUAAAAAAAUGUGAUAAAAUUAAUAGA